CCUACGGGAGGCAGCAGUGCGGAAUAUUGGUCAAUGGACGCAAGUCUGAACCAGCCAUGCCGCGUGCAGGAAGACGGCCCUAUGAGUUGUAAGCUGCUUUUGUACGAGGGUAAACGCAGAUACGCGUAUCUGUCUGCAAGUAUCGUACGAAUAAGGAUCGGCUAACUCCGUGCCAGCAGCCGCGGUACUACGGAGGAUUCAAGCGUUAUCCGGAUUUAUUGGGUUUAAAGGGUGCGUAGGCGGUCGGAUAAGUUAGAGGUGAAAUCCCGAGGCUCAACUUGGGAAUUGCCUCUGAUACUGGUCGGCUAGAGAGUAGUAGCGGUAGGUGGAAGUGAUGGUGUAGCGGUGAAAUGCGUAGAGAUCAGACAGAACACCGAUUGCGAAGGCAGCUGACCAAGCGACUUCUGACGUUGAGGCACGAAAGCGUGGGGAGCAAACAGGAUUAGAUACCCUUGUAGUC
rnacentral:rRNA from 1 species